rnacentral:lncRNA from 1 species
UUUUUUCUAAUUUCUUUUUAUUUUUUAUUUUUUCUUUUAAUCCCUUUAUUUUGAUUAAUUCAUAAUAAAUUCAUUUUUAAUCCAAAAAAUAUGAGACUUUCACCAAAAAUCUUUAAAUAUUUUAUGUAUCCAGAUUUUGAAUUAAAAUCAUUUUUGAAUUAAUUUUGAUAUUUUUUGUGAAUUAGUUGUUUUUGACUUGUUUUUAAAUAUUUUUAAAUACUUCUGACUUUCCAAAAAAUUUAAUUUUGUUGUCUAAGGUACUUUGACCUUGUUUAACAUAGGAUAAAUUCCUUGGCCAUUUAUUUGGUGAUUUA